UAGGGAAUCUUCCACAAUGGACGCAAGUCUGAUGGAGCAACGCCGCGUGAGUGAAGAAGGUUUUCGGAUCGUAAAGCUCUGUUGUUGGUGACGAAGGAUAGAGGUAGUAACUGGCCUCUAUUUGACGGUAAUCAACCAGAAAGUCACGGCUAACUACGUGCCAGCAGCCGCGGUAAUACGUAGGUGGCACGCGUUGUCCUGCUUUUUUUGGCGUAAAGCGAGCGCAGGCGGAAGAAUAAGUCUGAUGUGAAAGCCCUCGGCUUAACCGAGGAACUGCAUCGGAAACUGUUUGUCUUGAGUGCAGAAGAGGAGAGUGGAACUCCAUGUGUAGCGGUGGAAUGCGUAGAUAUAUGGAAGAACACCAGGGGCGAAGGCGACUCUCUGGUCUGCAACUGACGCUGAGGCUCGAAAGCAUGGGUAGCGAACAGG
rnacentral:rRNA from 1 species